AGAGGGUGCAAGCGUUAAUCGGAAUAACUGGGCGUAAAGGGCAUGUAGGCGGUUGAUUAAGUCAGAUGUGAAAGCCCCGUGCUUAACGCGGGAACGCCAUCUGAGACUGGUUUACUAGAGUGUCGUAGAGGGCAGUGGAAUUUCCGGAGUAGCGGUGAAAUGCGUAGAUAUCGGAAGGAACACCAGUGGCGAAGGCGGCUGCCUGGACGAACACUGACGCUGAGGUGCGAAAGCGUGGUUAGCGAACAGGAUUAGAUACCCUGGUAGUCCACGCUGUAAAUGGUGAGAACUAGCUGUUGGGCCCCAUGAGGGUCCAGUAGCGCAGCAAACGCAUUAAGUUCUCCGCCUGGGAGUACGGCCGCAAGGUUA
rnacentral:rRNA from 1 species